CCUACGGGUGGCUGCAGUGGGGAAUAUUGGGCAAUGGGCGCAAGCCUGACCCAGCAACGCCGCGUGAAGGAAGAAGGCUUUCGGGUCGUAAACUUCUAUUCUCAGGGACGAAGCAAGUGACGGUACCUGAGUAAGAAGCCACGGCUAACUACGUGCCAGCAGCCGCGGUAAUACGGAGGAGCCAAGCGUUAUCCGGAUUUACUGGGUUUAAAGGGUGCGUAGGUGGGAUGUUAAGUCAGAUGUGAAAGUUUGGGGCUUAACCGGAGGAUUGCAAUUGAUACUAGCAGGCUUGAGUACAGUUGAGGAAAGCGGAAUUCGUGGUGUAGCGGUGAAAUGCGUAGAUAUCAGGAAGAACUCCGGUGGCGAAGGCGGCUUUCUGGACUGCAACUGACGCUGAGGCUCGAAAGUGUGGGGAGCAAACAGGAUUAGAUACCCCAGUAGUC
rnacentral:rRNA from 1 species